GCCUGGGUGGCUCAGUCGGUUGAGCAUCUGACUUUGACUCAGGUGUCACGGGUUCGACCCCCGUGUCGGGCU